GAUGAACGCUGGCGGCGUGCCUAACACAUGCAAGUCGAGCGAAGCGGGGACGGGUGAGUAACACGUGGAUAACCCCCUCUAAGAAUGGGAUAACUUAGGGAAACCGGUGCUAAACCGGAUAAUUAUAGAUGGAUCCGCGAUGCAUUAGCGAGUUGGUAAGGUAACGGCUUACAAAGGCAACGAUGCAUAGCUGACCUGAGAGGGUGACCCGCCACACUGGAACUGAGACACGGUCCAGACUCCUACGGGAGGCAGCAGUGGGGAAUCUUCCACAAUGGGCGAAAGCCUGACGGAGCAACGCCGCGUGAGUGAUGAAGGUCUUCGGAUCGUAAAACUCUGUUAUUAGGGAGGCGGUACCUAAUCAGAAAGCCACGGCUAACUCCGUGCCAGCAGCCGCGGUAAUUC
rnacentral:rRNA from 1 species